rnacentral:rRNA from 1 species
AGUGAACGCUGGCGGUAGGCCUAACACAUGCAAGUCGAACGGAAGCACAGUAAGAGCUUGCUCUUACGGGUGGCGAGUGGCGGACGGGUGAGGAAUACAUCGGAAUCUACUUUUUCGUGGGGGAUAACGUAGGGAAACUUACGCUAAUACCGCAUACGACCUACGGGUGAAAGCAGGGGAUAUUCGGACCUUGCGCGAUUGAAUGAGCCGAUGUCGGAUUAGCUAGUUGGCGGGGUAAAGGCCCACCAAGGCGACGAUCCGUAGCUGGUCUGAGAGGAUGAUCAGCCACACUGGAACUGAGACACGGUCCAGACUCCUACGGGAGGCAGCAGUAGGGAAUAUUCGACAAUGGGCGCAAGCCUGAUCCAGCCAUACCGCGUGAGUGAAGAAGGUCUUCGGGUUGUAAAGCCCUUCUGUUGGGAAAGAAAAGCAGCAGAUUAAUCCCCCGCUGUUCUGACGGUACCCAAAGAAUAAGCACCGGCUAACUUCGUG